UCCCAUUUUCUACUUUUAACUAAAGGUGAGGAGUUAACGAUCUGGAGGUUGCAAACAAGACCACCCUGAAGUAGGAGUCCAAACCCUACAGCAAUGACUACAUUUCCCUCUAACUCAGUGACUGAGACUUCUAACCGUCAACUUGGCACAGUCCAGAGGCACCAGAGGUGGCGCUGUUCUGAAGGCUCGUAACCCCUUUAGAAGGUGAAGCCUGAGAGGCAGACGUAGUUUGCUAGGGGCGAACCUUUGAAGGUUACACCCGCUCCUGGUUCCAGAGAGUUCCGUCUUCCCUGGUUCACUGUGAUACGAACAGCAGCUCCAUGUCACACACUGCCGCCAUGCCUGCUUGACAACGGUGAACUGAAAUCCCUCUGAAGCCCUGAGCUAAAAUAAAAGCCCCUUUAAAGUUG